CCUACGUGAUGCAGCAGUGGGGAAUAUUGGACAAUGGGCGAAAGCCUGAUCCAGCCAUGCCGCGUGUGUGAAGAAGGCCUUCGGGUUUUAAAGCACUUUCAGUGGGGAAGAAAGCCUUGGGGCUAAUACCCUCGAGGAAGGACAUCACCCACAGAAGAAGCACCGGCUAACUCCGUGCCAGCAGCCGCGGUAAUACGGAGGGUGCGAGCGUUAAUCGGAAUUACUGGGCGUAAAGCGCGCGUAGGCGGUCUGAUAAGCCGGUUGUGAAAGCCCCGGGCUCAACCUGGGAACGGCAUCCGGAACUGUCAGGCUAGAGUGCAGGAGAGGAAGGUAGAAUUCCCGGUGUAGCGGUGAAAUGCGUAGAGAUCGGGAGGAAUACCAGUGGCGAAGGCGGCCUUCUGGACUGACACUGACGCUGAGGUGCGAAAGCGUGGGUAGCAAACAGGAUUAGAUACCCUAGUAGUC
rnacentral:rRNA from 1 species